ACUUGAAAAAAGUGGGAUUUAGAGCAGAGGUGGGCAAACUACAGCUCGCAGGCCACAUCCAGCCCACGGGACCGUCCAGCCUGGCCCUUGAGCUUCUGGCCCAGGAUGCUAGCCCCCAGCCCCUCCCCCACUGUCCCCUCUCCCCCACAACCAUGCUGCCAUGCG